CGGGACGGGUGAGUAAUGCUUGGGAAUCUAGCUUAUGAGGGGGAGUAACUACGGGAAACUGUAGCUAAUACCGCGUAAUAUCGAAAGAUUAAAGUGUGGGACCCUCGGGCCACAUGCCAUAGGAUGAGCCCAAGUGGGAUUAGGUAGUUGGUGAGGUAAAGGCUCACCAAGCCGACGAUCUCUAGCUGGUCUGAGAGGAUGACCAGCCACACUGGGACUGAGACACGGCCCAG
rnacentral:rRNA from 1 species